rnacentral:tRNA from 1 species
CCUGGUGGCUCAGAGGUUAAAGCGUCUGCCUUCAAUGCGGGAGACCUGGGUUCGAUCCCUGGGUCAGGA